ACCCAUCAAGCAAAUCCUAUAAAAUGAACAAAUACAUAUUAAUUAUUUAAAAUAGUAAAUAUAUAUAGACUAACUAGUAUAAAUUUGGGUGUAGAAAUUAUGGAUAUAAUGUGUUCAUCAUCAAGUCGAUGAUAAUGAGUUGUGGCCAAGUCGAUGCCUUCUUUUGAUUGCUUAGUUGCUUGUGUAGCAAGCUAAUCUGCAACAAAGUUUGUUUCACGAAAUUGCCAGCCAAUUGAAUGGGAUAGAAUGUCCUUGAGCAUAGUGAGACAAUCAUUGCGCACAUGGUAUAGUUCAAAAGGCACUUUAAACUGUAUCUUUCAAUAAGUGAAAAAGUGUUUGUGAAUCCACUUCAAUAUUGGUGUUGUCAAGGUGAAGAGCUCAUACUGCCAAUAGUCCAAUUUGGAGUACAGUGAAUUCAUCUGGAAGCAUUGAAGUAGAGAAGAUAGGCACAGUUAAAGCAAUUAACAUCCUUCCUCCAAAGUCCCUAAUAAUCGCACUAGGACUUCCCAUUCUGAUAUGUUCAGACACAGAUCCAUCACAAUUUAGUUUCAACCAUAGAUGAUCAGGAGGUUUCCAUUUAAUGGACCUAAAAAACUUUGUUGGUUGAGUAGUUGCACCAACAUCAUAUAAUCUCAUCAUGUCUUCAGUUAGCUUGUGUGCUAGAAAAAUCACUUUCCUUGGACAACAUUGUAAAGAAUUAAAUCUGGAUUCCUUUCUUUCUAGCAAAAUAAACCACAAAGUUGUACCAAACAAAGGUAGAAGGUGAUGACGCUCAUAUAUGUUCUAUUUGAAAAUGAAAAACACAACUAAUAGGGGAAGUCAGUUCGAGGAGCUUCUUCAACUGCUUGAGCCAUGUCUAACACAAACCACACUGCUCUUGUGAAAGGGCAAGUAAUAAAAAGAUGAUCUACAUCAUCUAUUCUAGAAAGACAAAACGAGCAUAUUGGGUAUGUUUGAAAAUGAUAGUAUCAGAGAUAACUUGAUGUAGGAAUGACUUGAUAAGAGAACAUCCACAAGGGAAAUCUAAUCUUUUGUUGAAGAUUUUUUUUUCCAUAGAAAUUUGUAGAAAGGAUCGACUUUAGUGACAUCUGAAUUGCACCAAGAGAGAAUCUUAAAGUAUGUCGACUUUACAGUGUAAGAACCAUGUUUCUUUGGUGCCCAAAUUCGUGAAUCAUUAUGACAAAACUGAGAUAAAUGCAAUGAGAUAAUCUCUUCAGAAAGGUGAGGCGGAGACCAACAUCCUCCCAAACAUUAAUAUUUGUUACAUCUCCGAUCUGCCAUCGAAUUCCCUAAAAGAGCAUAUUCUUAACCUUUGGUAAAGUUCUCCAGACCAUGGAGUGGUUACCUACAGCCUUUGAAUUUAGAAAAUCACAAUGAGGAUUAGUCUUCAUCAGUUGCGCCCAUGGUGAUACAUGGUCCAAAGGUUCCCAGGGGUUUUUGCCCAACAAUGCCACAUUAUGGAUGAAUAGAUCCUUUACUCCAAUCCCUCCACUAUUUAUAUCAAAUAGUAUUCUAACUGUACACAUCAAAUCUUAUAUAGUAUAAUAUUAUAUAUAUAUAUAUAUACACCACAUCCAACUCAUAAUCAAACGAAUCAUACCAGAUCAAUCAAUAGUAAACAAAUACUAAUAAACAAACGUGUGCCCCCGACACCAACCUUUUUCCCCAUACACCCAUGUGCCCCCGGCACCUAGUGUCCCAUGGCACCAUCUUUGUUGUCCGUACAACCAUGUGCCCCCGACACCAAGUGUCUGUCGACACUAACAGGCUUAGGGAACGAACAUGCCAUGUCCCUAACCAACUUGCUAUCCCUAUAGCCAUGUGUUCUUCACACCCAUGUCCUCGAGACACCCACAGGACUUGAAAAAGUACAAGCUUUGUCCCUAACCAAAGGUACCACUGUACCAUCACCGUUCCACAACCAAUGUGUCACUUGUACCAAACUCUACUCAUAGAGUUCCAACAUCAUAUCUUCGGAUAUACAUGCUCAUUGAGUAUCCACAUCAUAUCCUCAGACAUACGUGCUCAAGAGUAUCCAUAUCAUAUCCCUCAAAUAUAAGUCACACAACCAUCAACAAACAUUCAUCAUGAUUACUUUAAACAAAGCAUAAAGUCUCAGUUUGUAAAGGUUCAGUCACCUGAACUUAAAAAACUUCAGUCGACUGAUGUAAAAGGUCUUUCAGUCGAACAUGCAAAGUCUUUAGUCGACUCAACCCACUCAUGGUUCAGUCGGCUGAGCAUUGAACCGACAUUCUUAACUAUUUCUAAUCCUGGGAUGAAUUAAAUAUAAUAAUAUAACAGGCUUUCAUACAACUAAUAUCAUCUAAACCUAGAAAUCAACAUAGAAAUGUAAGUUAGAUAACUUGCCUUAAUCCAAAGCUAAGCAUAAUAAUCUAAUUCCAAAGUUAUGCAAGCAAUCUCCGAUAAAGAAUAUGAACCCUAGAUGCAAUCUCCUCUUUUUGCAUCUUGUAACACCCAUGAGUUGGUGUUAGUCUUACAUUCCCAAGGAAGUGGUUGUAUUGGCAGUAUAUAGAGCUUAACCAUACUCUAACUAAUGUCAAAGCUUUUUGGGGAAAACCCAGAUGGGUGGACCCUGAUCCAAACCUUCUGUUGUUGGAUAUCUGCAGUGACUAAAGGAGAACAAUAUUGACAUUAGCGAGCGGUAUGGUGCUCGACACUCCGGGAUGGGCGAAGACGAAAUCCCAAGGCGUUAUAGUUGGUAUCAGAGUCGACGACAUGUUCUUGUUGCUGGUGGGAAGUACACUGGAAAGGCUUAGGGAGCGCCAAAUACUUGUUUCACUUGGCAAGGAACGUCGAAGAUUUUGGGAUUGUACUGAAGAGUCGAGGAUGACUCUAUUCUAAAGUGGUGGGAUUAUAACAACCAUGAGUUAGUGUUAGUCCAACAUUGCUAAGGAAGUGGUUGUAUUGGUAGUAUAUAGAGCUUAACCAUACUCUAACUAAUGUCAAGGCCUUUUAGGAAAAAACCCAGAUGGGUGGACCCUGAUCCAAAACCAUCUACUGCUGGAUAUCCAUAGUGACUAAAGGGGGACAAUAUUGAUAUUAGCUUGUUAAUUAGUCCUCUUACUGAUCUCACAGCGAAGACGGAUCGAAAAAAGUUCAAGGAACAAAGUCAAUAUAUCAAUUUGAAAAAAAUCAUUAAUUUUUUGUUUAGGAGUGUGUCGUAGUAAAAUCGGGUGUGCUUUUAACACAACCUUUGUAAAAUAGUAGGGUGGCAAUAUGAUUUCCCAAAAACAAACGAAACCUUUUAGAUUAAAGUUGACUAGCUGGAGCCUAAUUUUGGGGUUGUAGAAAGGCUCAUUGGAUAGUCCGCAGUCAGUCUAAGACUAAGAGAGAAACGUUGGAUAAUAAAAAGCUAAGAACAAUCGUUGGAUAUCAAAAACCUAGAAUCUACACGAACAUAAAUAUUAGCAUUUAUCUCUAAAGCUAGCUGUUUGUUUCUUCUCUUUAUUCAUCUAUGUGUAGUUGUAGUUCUGGGUGUUCAUAAUCAAUGAAAAAUGGGGGAGUUAACAGUGAUGAUGAUGGUAUAAAUAAAGGGGUUAGUAAACUUUGGUUUAUCAACUAGUUUCUUCAUUGAUAAGAGUAUUUCCUUUAAUCAUAAUAAUAACCCAAAGUUCUUAUUUUUAUUUUUAUUUUUCUCUUUCUAGUAGUAAGUUGAGGUAACGAUGAAGGUAGAAUGUAACGCCCCAAAAUCGCAACACGAAUCCCCAUUACUCAAUGUCAGAUCUUGAGGCAUUAGAAAACCCCAACCCAUGAUAAUCAUUUAAUAAUACAAGAUUCUGAAUGAUAUUCAUAUAUGUAAUUAGAAUUAAUACAAAAAAUUUGCAUAGAAAUAGUAGCAAUGAAUACACUGCCUUUAUAUAUAUAUAUACACAAUGAAGAAAUUACAUAUAUCGUACAAAACGCAUUGUACACUCUGUAGUCUCUGUAUAACACUCAUCUUCUCAAUCAACAUAUCCCCGAGCAACUGUUUAUCUGAAAAGGGUUAAUGAUAGGGUGAGCAUUUCCACUUGCUCAGUAGUGACUCACAUUUCCAAAAUACUAUCUAAUCAUGCAUGACGAUUAACCAUUCUAAACAUUUGAAAGAAUGCAAGUUUUAAUAAUUGAAAGUAACUUUCUACCGUAAAUAAUCAAUAAUAUACAAGCAUUCAAACAAUAAGUCGGGUACCUGUAUCCUAUCAGCGUGCUGAGGGUACGACUGGUACUCGGCCCCCAGUCCAGGCAAUACCUUAGUUCAGUACUUACCGGUGUGAACCUGCACUGUUAGUUCCUGAUUAUCCGGUCGGGUGAUUACCGUUUUUGUGCUCGAGCACACUAGCCCUCUUCUAGGGCUCAGGUGGGCCCUCUAACCACGACGCCCCGAGGGGGGAAUCAUCUAUCACGGUGGUCAACCGUUUGACGACUACAGACUCCUCAGGAUCCUGACACACGUCAAGGAGUGGACUACCUAUCACUCCCCGCGUCUAACCUCCUCGAGGUAGCAUGUAUCCCCACAACACACUAACCAUCCACAGCAAAUACCACUAAAAGCAUGGCAAUCCAGGAAGGUAGAAGAGAAAUUCCCGAAAACAUCCUACAAUGUUCGCCUCUAGAAAGUGCCCAUUCACCGUCUAAAGGUGAAAACUGCAUAUGUAAUCUUACAAAGAACUAUCAUCUCUAGAAUAUGACAACAAUUCCUUCUUUGUAGGAAUUCAAGGAUCCCUUGCCAGACCGCCUCGUGAUACAAUAUUUAUAUAUAAUAUAUAGGGUGUCUUUUAAUAAUAAUUAAUUUAAUCUGGCAUGUGUGACGACUCCCUGAAUUUAUCAACCAUCAAACCAGUCCUCUAUUCACGGCUACCCUAACUGGGCCAAAGCCGAAGAGACUAUCCCCUAUUCCAUGGCUACCCUAACCGGGCCAAAACCAAAGGGAUUAUAAUCCGAUCUGUAAUAAUAUGUUCGUGUAAGCACCGAGAUCAUAUUCCUAAUUCAGGAACCUCACACCAUACCAACAUACAACUGGGAUCCCACAUCCCACAUACAAAAUCCAUCUCUUUUUUCCCAUCCUGGAAAAGAGAUGCAAUAAAAACUUCAAUAGCUUUUCCGUUUAUAAAACCAUUUCAAUAGACAUAUACUGUUUUAAUAACUCCAGUAUAAAACAUGAUAUCUAUAACUAAUCCUUUUAAUAGAACUACAAUCGAUAAACCACGAGUAAUCUAUAUAUACCAAACAAAACCAUGCAUGCAUUUUUAUCAUCAAUAAUAUAUCAAUUAAUUUGCAACAUUUAAAAUAUGACACAUGAAAAGACAGUAUAAAAGAAAUGUAAGUCCAUACCUUAUCGUGCUCCUGAAUAUCACGUUCCAAUCCAAAUACCCGAGUUAGUCCAAUGUCCCCCUCUCGUAAUUGACAUCAAAUCCCUACAAACAAAUUGAUCAUUCAAAUCACCGAAAGAUGUUAUUCGAGGAACCACACUCUAUGUACUUCGUUUAAUUAGCCAUAAGCAAUUGCGCCGGCAAAGCCACUAAGACUAGAAAGUACUUCCCAUUCCAGGUGACAUUCUAUCACCUUCUUCCUAUUUCUUUUAUAUUUUUCCUGAAAUCUCCCAAAGCCUGCCACCUUCUUGAGCACUUGAUUAAUCGAACAAACUAAAACUAAAAGAAAAUCAACUAUACCAGUAAGUUAAUUAAGUUGGUCACCUCCCUUAAUUCAUAUUAGGCUUCCACAACUCGCAUGAGAAAGAAUCUAAGUCCAAAUACAUGUUACUAAAAUGGACAACUAGCUAUAUAUGCCUAAAAACAAGUUCUAAAACAUGAGAAUGUACCCGUCAGAACUGAAGCUUCUCUAGCUCUUGCAACAAAAAACCUUGGCAAGACAAUUACUUAGAAGGUCAACAACAUGAAUUUCUAUGAUGAAACCCCUGGUUCAUCUCUCUUUCCUUUCUUCAUCCUUAUUCCCUUGCUUUUCUUACUUUAACCUAGUUGAUAAGCUCAAUAAUAUGGACAAGUUCAUUUUUUUUUUUUUAAUGGUAAUUGACCAUGUGUGAGCUCUGCUACCGUGACUUAGGUUAGGUUACUCCCAAGUAACUUAGCUACUCCCCCACCCCUUUUUAGCACUUUUCUUUCCUAAAACAGCCAACCUUAUCCGUUUGAAGUUUGAACUCAAUUCACCGCCUUUUUUUAGCCAAUUCUGGCAUUUCUCAGCCCUAAACCUUGUUUUCCCCGGUGAUCAUGGCAGAUCUUGAACCCCAAAGCUCCCCAAUUUCUCCAGACCUAGCUUUCAACAAACACACAACCACCCAUAACCCCCUUAAUUCUGUCGUCACCCGUUCCUCUUCGUAUGGAACCAAGCUUGUCUAUAAUGGCCACACCCCCACCACAAUUAAAUGCUCAUUUUCAACAGGAACAAAAGGAAAUCGACGGAUCUGAGAAGGAAACUUGUGGAUCCAAGAAGGAAAAGUCUGAAGCUGAAGAAACAAGUAACUAAGCACCCACAACACAGAGAUGGAGCUCUCUGCUUCGUAAGCUGCCACCAUCGGCUGGUAAGGAUGAAUUAACUUUCAUAGAAUCCAAUUUUGAGCAUAAUCAACUUAUAGUAGAAGAAGAUAUCCUAGAAGAAGGAGCUAAGGAAUGGGAAAGUAGAGUGGUGGGUUUCUUCCUUGAUAAGAAACUACCAUACACACUAGUGAAAGACAUGGUUAUCAAGAAGUGGAAACCAAGGGGAAGUAAUUAUGUAGCCCUUGAUGGGGACAUGUUCUAUUUCAACUUUAACAAUGACGAAGAUCGGGAGGAGGUCGUUGAAGAAGGUCCAAUUGUUUUGGGAGGCAAGCUCUUUGUAGUACGAGCAUGGACAAGGGAAGUUGAAGAAAAUAGGGGGUCUGUUAACAGAGUUCCAGUAUGGGUUAAACUUUUCAAUGUGCCGAAGCAUCUUUGGAACAAAAAGGGAGUAAGCUAUCUUGGAAGUGUUAUAGGAAGACCGAUGUGUAUGGAUAGAACCAUAGAAGAGAAACAAAUGUUGACUUUUGCCAGAAUUUGUGUCGAAGUAGAUGCAAAAUCUACACUACCAGAUGAGAUCAAAUUGAAGACAAGAACAAGGAAGGAGUUGGUCAUACAUCUGGAGUACCCAUGGAAACCUUUACUUUGUACUGUAUGUAAAGUGUUUGGUCAUAGUGACAAUGGUUGUGAAAGGAAGAUCCCUGAGAAGAACAAGAGCAAGAAGAAACAAGUCAAUGCAGAUAGGGAAGAAGGGGAAUGGAUAGAGCCAGCAAAAGUAUGGAGGAAGAAACAUAAUGGAAACCACAAUUACCAACAAAACUCCAAAAACUGGAACUUAAACAAAGAGAAAGCCCAAACAAUACCAUCGGCUCAUGGUUAUAAGGUUAAGAACCAUAAUGCAGAGGCUUCUACUAGCAAGACUCACCACAAGGAAAAGACACCCAUACAACCAAGGAAGCCAACAACUACUACACAAGUAGAAAUACUGAAAAUUACAAGCAAUAAAUUCGAAGUCCUCGGCAACAUACAGGGGAAAGAACAAGUAAAUCAUGAGAAAGCAAUUGUUAUUGUAGGAACAGAAGAUGAUGAAACAUGGGAUGACACUGGGGAGAGUAAUGAAACUGACAAAUCAAACAGUGGCAAUGAACUGGAGGAGGGCACUGCAAGGCAGGUACAGAGGCCGCCAUGCCCAGACCCAUCUCAAUAUUUACUAUGCAAUAUACCAGAAAAACCAGUACAAAGUACAAGAAGAAGUGUGAGGCAGGCAAAAAGGGGGGAAGCUAAACUGAAGGAGACAACUCAGUUGGUGGAGGGAGACAAAACUGCAGGAAAGACUGCAGGCAAGAAAAAAAUUCUUAAGUGAUAUGGCUAGCAACUUAGCUACCUGGAAUAUCAUAGGACUCAAUAACCCCAGGAAAACUAAUGAGGUAAGGAAGUUAAUUACAGAUCAUUAUUUAAAAUUGGUUGGCCUUUUAGAAACUAAGGUGAAAGCUAGGAAUACAAACAUGGUACUUAGAAGAAUUAAUGACUGGAGUAGUGUCAAUAAUAACUCCAAGGACCAUAGAGGAAGGAUUUGGGUACUUUGGACCCAAAAUGUAUGACAGUACAAGUGAGUUACCUAACUGAUCAAGCAAUUCAUUGUGUGGUGGAGGAUAAGGUAGCUAAAACUGUGUACAGAAUGUCAGUAAUUUAUGGAAGGAAUACAAGAAGAGAAAGAAGUGUUCUGUGGGAAGACUUAAAACACUAUGCUAGAGGGAUUCCCAAUAACCAACCAUGGUUAUUGAUGGGAGAUUUCAAUGCAUGUAAAGAAAUUUCAGAGAAUGUUGGUGGAUCAAGACUACAUGACAGAGAUAUGAGAGACCUUUCAAAUUGCAUGGAAACAUGUGGCCUUGAAGAUCUUAAAGCAUGUGGCAGCUUUUACACAUGGACUAACAGAUCAGAAGGGCAAGAUAGAGUUUUAUGCAAACUUGACAGAUGUUUGGUUAAUGAUGCAUGAAACAAUUUCUUUCCAGGGGCUGGAGCACUUUUCUUAGAGCAUGGGGUUUCUGAUCACUCUGCCAUUGCUCUCAAAUGGCCGCAUAAUAUUGGUAAAAGGCACACACCCUUUAGGUUCUUCAAUCAUUGGAUUUUACAUGCUGAAUUCAAGGAGCUGGUUGUAGAAACGUGGAACUGUGAAGUAAUGGGAAACCCUAUGAUAAGAUUAUACUAUAAACUGAAGAUUCUUAAAGCUAAACUUAAAGAAUGGAGUAAGUCAAACUUCUUGGACUUAUAUAAUAGAGUGGUCCAAGGAAGGGAGGCAAUGAGCAGAAUCCAAACAGAAAUUCAAGUGCAUCCACUAUAUAGCAAUCUAGCAGCACUUGAGAAGGAAGCCAUCAGUGAAUAUAAAAGAUACGCUGCAACAGAGGAGUCAUCGCUACAACCAAAAACAAGUGCCAGUUGGGCUUGCUUGGGUGAUGAUAACACAAGUUUCUUCCACAAGAAAGUAAAAGGGUACCAAAUCAGAAACUCAAUACACAGUAUUGUGGAUCAACAAAGAACUCUGACUGAUAAGGAAGACAUUGCAAACCUCUCUGUUAGUCAUUUCAAACAGGUACAACUUGAUAGAGUGGUCCCAGAAGAGAUGAAACAAGCUAUGUGUGAGGAGGUUACUGAACAAGAGAUUAAACAUGCAAUUUUUGCCAUUCCUGAUGACAAGUCUGCUGGACCAGAUGGGUUCAAUUCUAAAUUCUAUAAAGCUUGCUGGGAAGUGGUAGGUGCAGGAUGUGACAAAGGCAAUACAAAAUUUCUUCAAUGCAGGUAAGAUGUUGAGAGGAGGUAAUACAACUCUUAUUAGUUUGAUUCCAAAGGUGCAAAUGCUAAAUAUAGUGAAGGAUUACAGACCAAUCUCAUGCUGCAACGUCAUAUACAAAGGGAUAUCUAAAUUCAUUGUAAACAGAAUCAAAGAUGCAAUGUCGGGACUCACUGAACCAAACCAAGGUACCUUCAUACAUGGGAGAAACAUAACAGACAAUAUUAUAAUUUCCCAUGAGCUGCUGCGCAAAUACAAGAGGAGGAAUUCAAGUGCUAGAUGUACUAUUAAGAUAGACAUACAAAAAGCAUAUGACUUCAUAAGAUGGAACUUAAUCAUUGAAGUGUUGAGUAUGAUGCGAUUCCUAGAAAAGAUGAUCAAUUGGAUCAAAGUAUGUUUAUCCACUGUACAUUACUCACUCUUAGUGAAUGGGAAGGUUGAAGGUUUCUUCAAGGGUGAUUUAGGUUUUGGUCACCACUUUUUAGUAUCAAUUUGGUUCUGGAGCCGGUUUUUAUCUUNNNNNNNNNNNNNNNNNNNNNNNNNNNNNNNNNNNNNNNNNNNNNNNNNNNNNNNNNNNNNNNNNNNNNNNNNNNNNNNNNNNNNNNNNNNNNNNNNNNNGAUGGCUGGAAUUACCUCUAAGCUGGCGUUUGUUACAAAAACUAUAUUAGGGUUAGUGAUCACGUGCAGAUCACGUGAGUUUCAGGGGUAAAAUUAGGUAUUUUGAAAAUAUUUUCGGUUCAACCGGGUUUUUUUAGUUGUUGGUUCGAAAAUGAGCUCUAAACCCUAAUAAAGAUAAAAACCGGCUCCAAAACCUAAUUUAUACUAAAAAGUGGUGACCAAAACCUAAAUCACCCUUUCUUCAAAGGUGAGAAGGGGCUCAGGCAAGGAGACCCUCUCUCACCUUUGCUCUUUGUGCUAGCAAUGGAAGUGUUUGGAAGCAUGCUGAAGACUCAAUACAAUGAAGGGAAUUUCUCACUGCACCCGAAAUGUAUGGAUCCUCUCAUUACCCAUUUAACAUUUGCGGAUGAUCUAAUGAUAUUUUGUAGGGCAAAAGUCGAGACAGCUGAGACAAUAAGAGACACUCUGGCACUCUUCUACAACUACUCAGGACUCACUAUCAACCCUCUCAAAAGCUCCAUCAUAUUUGGAGGUACAAAUGAAGUAACACAAGCCGAAUUUGCUCACCUUCUCAAUAUGCCAAUUGUGGAACCUCCAGUGGUGUAUCUAGGUUUGCCUCUCACUUCAACAAGGCUCCACAUCUCAGACUGUCAAGGGCUAACUGAAAGCUUCAAGAAGAAAAUUUCAAACUAGGUAAACAAGUUACUCUCCUUUGCUGGAAGGAUGCAGCUCAUUCAAUCAGUGCUUGCAAGCACUGCUGUUUAUUGGUUUAGAGUGUUUCUACUACCUCAAGCAGUAAUUACAGAGCUGAACAGAAUCUGCAGUAAGUUCCUAUGGUCUGGACCAGACAUGGGAAGGAAGAAGCACUAUGUUAGCUAGAAACAAUGUUGCCUAAGUAAGAAGGAAGGGGGACUUGGUAUGAAAAACAUGAAAGAAUGGAACCAAGCUUAUGUUGGGAAGAGUGCAUUUAAAAUUGCUACUAACAUUGAUUCUCUAUGGGUUAAGUGGGCUCACAAACACUUAAUCAAGAGAAAUUAUUAUUGGGCAAUGGAUAUUCCAGCUGACUGUUCUCAUGGGUGGAGGGGUAUUUUGAGUUGUAGAGAUAUAAUACAGUCUCAAGUUACUUUCCAAAUUGCCACAGGACAUGAUACUAAGGUAUGGCAUGACCCAUGGCUCGAAGGCGGUGUGCUCAGGAAAAGAGUUCAAACCAUUGACAGGAGGGCAUCAACCAUCAGAGAUAAUGCAAAUGUAAGCAUCCUCAUAAGAAAUAACUCCUGGAAUCUUCCUCAGACAGACAACAUAGCAGUGACAACACUUUGGAGUGAGAUACAAGAAGUGAAUAUCAAUAACAUGGAGGAGAAGGACACUAUAUGCUGGAGACCACACCCUAGGGGCAUCUACACAAUUAGAACUACUUACUGUAUGCUAAAACCAAGGGCUGUUAAGUUAAAAUGGAGUAACGUGGUGUGGAACAGAAGAAUCACUCCAAACCUGUUUUCAUCACAUGGCUGACAAUGCAAAAUAGACUCAUAACACAAGAUAAGUUGUACCAAUGGGGGCUACUGAAAGAAACAAAU
rnacentral:lncRNA from 1 species